AGGGAAUCUUCCGCAAUGGACGAAAGUCUGACGGAGCAACGCCGCGUGAGUGAAGAAGGUUUUCGGAUCGUAAAACUCUGUUGUAAGGGAAGAACAAGUACGUUAGUAACUGAACGUACCUUGACGGUACCUUACCAGAAAGCCACGGCUAACUACGUGCCAGCAGCCGCGGUAAUACGUAGGUGGCAAGCGUUAUCCGGAAUUAUUGGGCGUAAAGCGCGCGUAGGCGGUCUCUUAAGUCUGAUGUGAAAGCCCCCGGCUCAACCGGGGAGGGUCAUUGGAAACUGGGAGACUUGAGUGCAGAAGAGGAGAGUGGAAUUCCAUGUGUAGCGGUGAAAUGCGCAGAGAUAUGGAGGAACACCAGUGGCGAAGGCGGCUCUCUGGUCUGUAACUGACGCUGAGGUGCGAAAGCGUGGGGAUCAAAC
rnacentral:rRNA from 1 species